UCUGUUUCUAUAGUGUCCAAACCAAGUAACUUUGUACUCCUUUGUGAGGUUCCCAUCUAACUAUGCUGAUGGACAGAUGCAGUGCAACCCAUCUAGAGAUUCUUGGAUUUACAGAAAAUUAUGCUGUGGCUCUUUGCCAGCAAGGAAAUAAUCUGGACACAAACUUGAACUGCUGAGCAGAUUAAAGGCAAACAAAGGGACAGUGAUGAAAACAGCAAAAAAAAAUGCUGUGCAUCUGAAUGUUACCAGAAUUUACCCAAUGUAGCAACCCCGAGUGGAAAAGAAGGAAAGCUGAAGCUUUGAAAAAUUUCCUGAAGGACACCUAAUUGUAAUUCCUACUUUGAUUUCUCUGUAAAGUUUCUGAAUGCUUCUGGAUGACUACAGUGACAAUUCCCUGACCUGCUGUCCAGAUGAUUGACUGGUUGAUAAUGUCUUUAAUGUUUUGUCAUGUUUUGCCAACAUUGUUUUUAACAAAUCCCAAGCAAUUAAAUUCACAGCAGAUAUGCAGGUCUUUAUAAUGCUAGAGAAUGUGCUCAGAGCUGGUAGCCUGGCAGAUGAAGGAGAAGGAGAGGGAGAGGGAUGUCUGGCUAGAGAGGAUGCCCAAGGAUAUCUGAUUGUAUGGAAAUGGAAAAGACUUUGGUGUCAAAUGUCACGUACAGAACUCUCCUCUAUAUAGCAUUCCCAUUUGUGCAGUGGGGAUUUUGAACCAGGCUCUGUUCAUUUGCCAAAACUUUCCUCCCUUGCAAUUCCCUUUGUGACACAUUACAGAGUGGCAUCUGCAGAAAGCUGCUGGCACCAAGAUGAUGACACACACGCAGUGACCUCAUCACACAAACACUGCCUUUACACCAAAUGCUUGGCCCAAUUGUGUGUGGUCAUCACACAUUUGUCUUCAUUUGCCUCUUCUGUGGAUGCUCAUAAUUGCUAUGCCUUUGCUACAUUCUGGUUGCACUAUUUUUAGGUGGAAUAAAGGGAAUGACAAAUUA